rnacentral:tRNA from 4 species
AGGGCUGUCGGUUAAUGGCAAACCACGGGUCUCCAAAACCCGGACUGGAGGUUCGACUCCUCCCAGCCCUGCAA